CUAUUUCUUGUUUCGGAGAAUCGAGUUCCUAAUCUUUCAACGGUUUUUCACGAAAUUUUCAUUUCUCGUAAAGUUGCUGCGUAAUAGACGCUUGGUAAUUUUGAUUCGAUUAUAAUUGCUCGGUAUUCGUAAUACCGGGCUGUGAUUUUAUGGCGAAGACGACCUUGUCGCCGUGAGAGCCCAGAGCCUGUUGCACUUCGAUGGCAUACUAUACGUAUCGGUGCAACUAAUCUAACUGGCACGUGCAAUACUGCUGAGAACGAUUCCGUAGCUACUCAAACCGGAUUUCUGUUCACUACAUUCGAGCAGAAUUGAUAAAAGUUUUUACUACCUACAAUAAAGUCUCCUCGUCCGGCUGGUCACCAACCACACGUAUAAAGUGAAGAAUUUCGAGCACUAUUUUUCGUGGGAGUAUCGAAGGAGCAUUGUAUCGACCUCUCAUCGUACUACAUCUUCUACAUUCAACCUACUACACAGCUAUAGUCAUCAGGGAGGCAGAGACAUCCGGGUAAAAUCCAAGACCCCUGAGCUUGGGAACCAGCUCGGGUCCGGUUUUGGUACCGGCAGCGGUGGGGUAAGUCCCAGCAGUCAGAUUUCCUCGAUUUCUUUGCCAGCUCACACGAUGGUGAACGCUGGCAUCGGGAUCGUUGUAUUUUAUAGAAUAAGUAUAUUCCCCCAAUUCCCGUGGCGUGGCGGUACUUUUAGAUUUUAAAAUUAUUUUAUUAGCUCAGGUAAUCGUAGGUUUGGUUGUCGUUGAGCAUAGCGCACUUGCAGUUUGUAGAGUCACAGAUAUAGAAUUUUUUUUGAAAAUUAUUCAGUUAGUUGAUCUAUUGGUUAGUCAGUUGACAAAUAGUUCAUACACUAUGAACUAUUCAAAUAAAUCAUCAUCCACCAACCUUAUGUAAGCAAGAGUGCGCGGCUCAUAGGCAACGGUAAAGACCAUCGUUUGAUUGACCAACGCGUUUUCUUGCAUUUUAUAAUAAUUUUUAGUGAUUGAUCUCGUUUUCGUCGAUCACUAACUAGUAAAAAAAAUUAGGCCGUUCGAAUGGUGGUCCUUUACCAUAGUUUCACUUUCUCUAUGAGAAUCAGGUAUGAUCAGCAGCUCCGAGCAAUUAAAAAAUGCGUAAUUGAUUUUUUAGAGAUAAAAAAACUUGUCAAUUCAGUUAUUCUCAAUUCUCAUUCAUUCAAUGUAAUUAACUCCAACUUAUUGAUAUGGAAACAUAUUUUUCAACAUCUUCUUUCCUCCCUGAUUCUCUUGUUAACUUUAAGUAUCCGAUUAAGCUUCAAGAAACUACCGCGGACAUUGGAUUUAGUAUAGAAAUAAUUAGGAUAUAGAUUAAGUGUGAAAAUAAUUAAGAUAUAAAUUAAGUGUGGAAAUAAAUAAGAUUUAAAUUAAGUUUGAAAAUAAUUAAGGUAUUUAUAAUAAGGUAUAAGAAUAUUCUUGGGCAACGUUUCAUCUUCUGAAGUGGAAUCCUGAUCGAAGAAAAAUAUUAUUUCACUACCUAUAUUAUUUUUUGUUAGCAUUAAGAAAAAAAAAAAAAGAAUUAGUCAUAAGAAACCUUACCCCAAACACACACAUUUUUAAGCCCUUAAUUAAUAUGAAUUAAAUUCAUUCUUUUGCUUAUACCAUUUUCCAAUACGAUUUCAAAUGAAAUUAUCGAAACAUUGUUGUAUUUCAAUUCAUGAGAAUCACGUUAUUCAAAUCAUUUCACGAUUCUGGA